UUUAACUGAAGAGUUUGAUCAUGGCUCAGAUUGAACGCUGGCGGCAGGCUUAACACAUGCAAGUCGAGCGGAGAGAGGUAGCUUGCUACUGAUCUUAGCGGCGGACGGGUGAGUAAUGCUUAGGAAUCUGCCUAUUAGUG
rnacentral:rRNA from 1 species